rfam:Methylosinus sp. R-45379 contig_58, whole genome shotgun sequence.
GGGCGGUUAGCUCAGUUGGUAGAGCGUCUCGUUUACACCGAGAAUGUCGGCGGUUCGAGCCCGUCACCGCCCA